AGGUUCGGCCGCCGAACUCCAAGUUCGGCCGCCGAACCUUGCAUGCAUGCGGAGGCACCUUCGGCCCCCGAACGUGGCCUGGCCAGCCACCUAUAAAAGGGGCACUUAGCCGAAAUGGGAGAGUUUUCUCCCAUUUUCAGCCACAGCAAGCUUCCGACCUCCCUCUCCCAAAUCUUGUGUUUUUCCUUCAAUCCCCACCAUUUUCUUUGAGUUUUAAGGUUCCACAAAAGUUUUUGAGUGUUUUUAAGCAAGUUUGGAGCUUGGAAGUCUUGGAGCUAAAUCCCUCCAUUUUCCGAGCUAGGGUCGUUCUUCCUCUCGAUCUUCAAGAGGUAAGCUUCGAUCUAUGCUUCUUUUAUGUUUUAUGAAAGUUUUAUGCAAGUUGAUGGGGUAGAAUGCAUGUUUAGGCUUGUUGUUAGGUUUAUGGGUUUAUGUUGUGAUUUGAACAAUGUAUGUUGGAAAUGUGUUGUUUGAAGUGUUGUAGUUGGGGUAUAUUAUGGUUUGAGACCCCUAGGUGUGAUGUAUGAUGUGUAUGCAUGUGUAGAAACAAGUUUAUGCAUGUUUUGAGGCGUUUUGGAGGCUGUGGACACAAGGGAGCCAAGUUUCUGCCCUUCGACAGAAACUCAGGUUCGGCCGCCGAAGUGACUUUCGGCCGCCGAACCCCCUUGUGGAGGCAGUUUCGGCUGCCGAAGCCUGCCCCCGAAACUCAAGUUUCGUCUCUAUCUGGGAGGUUCGGCCGCCGAAAGUGCCGCCGAACCUGCAUGAUUUUCGGCUGCAGAGGGACUUUCGGCCGCCGAACCUGCCGCCGAAAGUGCCCUGUUCAGCCAUUUCUUGCAUGUUUUCAUGUGAUGUUUUCAGGAUAUUUUAGGGGGCUUUUGGGGAGUAUUUUAGAGUCAUGUUCAUGUAUGUUUGGUCCCUCAUUUGAGUCCACCUGUGUAGGUUCGGACCCGAGGAACCGAGACCCCUAGCAGUGAGCCAGCUGCUUCAGAGUCUCUUCAGAG
rnacentral:lncRNA from 1 species